UGCACAACUAAAACCCUAGUUUUUCCAAAGGAAAGAAUGGAGGUUCAAUAUCUUCACAGCUACAAGAUCUAGAAAUUUUACAAUAUCUUCACAGCUACAAGAUCUAGAAAUUUUACUUAGAUACUUAGAUUGAGAAUGGGUGGUAUCGGAAACAAAGAUUUCUGCUCAAUGGUUCACAUAUGGUUGCUGUAGAUUACUGCUCAACUUAUAGAUGUGUGCUCAUUGCUCGCAGUCAAUUAAUAAAACCUGGUUCCCUACUCCCUAGUGUUGCUUCAUUAUGUUCUUCCAGUCACUUGGCUAAGUAGAAUUUUGUCUUUGUCAACCCAUCUGAGAGAGCUUCAUUACUGUUCUAAAUUUUAAGUAUGUUUUAGACAUAAAAGUGAGAUGAAAUCAAUGUUUAUUUAUGCAAGUUUUUCUAACCUUUCUCGAUCUAAUACAUGCAGCAGUUUUGGUCCUUCAUUGAGUUAUGAACAAUGGGAACAGAAGAUGGAGCAGUUUAGCAGGACACUGUAGGAGCUGGCUUUGUUCAAGACCUGCUUCUUUCCACGCUUUUUAGCAAUUAGUGUAAUCAAGCUUUUAUAACGAACCACAAACAUAUGGUAAUUGAUCUACUCUCUCCCUUAAAAGAUGCUGAAAUGGGUCUUUGGUGUCAAAUGCUAUAGAUAUGGGCAACCCAUUUUGCCUAAUUGUUGUGUUUCUUGGGGCAACAAUGUUCUGCUGCUUUUAUUUACUAGUUCCACUUCAAUAAAUAGUUGUGCGUGAAACUUUCAUGCAGGCAUGUAGCUGAUGAUUUUAAUUUUUGUGAUACAAAUAAAGUAAUGAUUUCAUUCAAGUUUAGUAUUUUC
rnacentral:lncRNA from 1 species